rnacentral:rRNA from 1 species
UGGGGAAUAUUGGACAAUGGGCGCAAGCCUGAUCCAGCCAUGCCGCGUGAGUGAUGAAGGCCUUAGGGUUGUAAAGCUCUUUCGCCGACGAAGAUAAUGACGGUAGUCGGAGAAGAAGCCCCGGCUAACUUCGUGCCAGCAGCCGCGGUAAUACGAAGGGGGCUAGCGUUGUUCGGAAUCACUGGGCGUAAAGCGCACGUAGGCGGAUUGUUAAAGUCAGGGGUGAAAGCCUGGAGCUCAACUCCAGAACUGCCCUUGAUACUGGCAAUCUCGAGUCCGGAAGAGGUAAGUGGAACUGCGAGUGUAGAGGUGAAAUUCGUAGAUAUUCGCAAGAACACCAGUGGCGAAGGCGGCUUACUGGUCCGGUACUGACGCUGAGGUGCGAAAGCGUGGGGAGCAAAACAGGAUUAGAUACCCUGGUAGUCCACGCCGUAAACGAUGGAGGCUAGCCGUUGGCGAGCAUGCUCGUCAGUGGCGCAGCUAACGCAUUAAGCCUCCCGCCUGGGGGAGUACGGUCGCAAGAUUAAAAACUCAAAGGAAUUGACGGGGGUCAUAGCUGUUUUCCCU